CUACGGGAUGCUCCAGUGAGGAAUAUUGCACAAUGGGGGGAACCCUGAUGCAGCAACGCCGCGUGGAGGAUGACGCAUUUCGGUGUGUAAACUCCUUUUAUAUGUCAAGAAAAUGACGGUAGCAUAUGAAUAAGCACCGGCUAACUCCGUGCCAGCAGCCGCGGUAAUACGGAGGGUGCAAGCGUUACUCGGAAUCACUGGGCGUAAAGGACGCGUAGGCGGGCUUGUAAGUCAGGUGUGAAAUCCUACAGCUUAACUGUAGAACUGCACUUGAAACUACGAGCCUAGAGUAUGGGAGGGGCAGAUGGAAUUAGUGGUGUAGGGGUAAAAUCCGUAGAUAUCACUAGGAAUACCUAAAACGAAGGCGAUCUGCUGGAACAUAACUGACGCUAAGGCGUGAAAGCGUGGGGAGCAAACAGGAUUAGAUACCCGUGUAGUC
rnacentral:rRNA from 1 species